GAGAGAGAUCUGCUUUUGCUUACAACUAUUCGAGUUGUUCCAGUCCUACCGGACUGUGCAACCAGGCCACAAGAUGGCCCCGGCGCCGAGAGAGAGAGAUCUGCUUUUGCUUAGGUCAGAGGUCACGAGUCUUAACAAAAGACUGACCAUUUAUCCCCUAUCGACUUGCAGGAGAGAGAGAUGAAGAGAGAUGAGUGAGUGAGUGAGUGAGUGACUGAGUGACUGAGUGAGUGAGAGGGGGAGAGAGAGAGAGAGGGGGGGAGAGAGUGAUCUGCUUUUGCUUACAACUAUUCGAGUUGUUCCAGUCCUACCGGACUGUGCAACCAGGCCACAAGAUGGCCCCGGCGCCGAGAGAGAGAGAGAGAGAGUGAGAUCUGCUUUUGCCCAGGUCAGAGGUCAUGCAGUCUUUACCAAAAGACUGACCAUUCAGACCCUACUGACUUGCAGGAGAGAGAGAGAGAUGAGAGAGUGAGUGAGUGAGUGAGUGAGUGAGA
ensembl:lncRNA